GUCGUGACUGCGUGCCUUUUGAAGAAUGAGCCUGCGAGUUAGCGGUGUGUAGCGAGGUUAACCCGUGUGGGGAAGCCGUAGCGAAAGCGAGUCCGAAUAGGGCGUUUGAGUUGCACGCUCUAGACCCGAAGCGGAGUGAUCUAGCCAUGGGCAGGUUGAAGCGGAGGUAAGACUUCGUGGAGGACCGAACCCACCAGGGUUGAAAACCUGGGGGAUGACCUGUGGUUAGGGGUGAAAGGCCAAUCAAACUCCGUGAUAGCUGGUUCUCCCCGAAAUGCAUUUAGGUGCAGCGUCGUGUGUUUCUUGCCGGAGGUAGAGCACUGGAUAGGCGAUGGGCCCUACCGGGUUACUGACCUUAGCCAAACUCCGAAUGCCGGUAAGUGAGAGCGCGGCAGUGAGACUGUGGGGGAUAAGCUCCAUGGUCGAGAGGGAAACAGCCCAGAGCAUCGACUAAGGCCCCUAAGCGUACGCUAAGUGGGAAAGGAUGUGGAGUCGCAGAGACAACCAGGAGGUUGGCUUAGAAGCAGCCACCCUUGAAAGAGUGCGUAAUAGCUCACUGGUCAAGUGAUUCCGCGCCGACAAUGUAGCGGGGCUCAAGCGUACCGCCGAAGUCGUGUCAUUCAUACACAUAUCCUCAACGGGAGUAUGGAUGGGUAGGGGAGCGUCGUGUGCCGGGUGAAGCAGCCGCGGAAGCGAGUUGUGGACGGUUCACGAGUGAGAAUGCAGGCAUGAGUAGCGAUACACACGUGAGAAACGUGUGCGCCGAUUGACUAAGGGUUCCUGGGUCAAGCUGAUCUGCCCAGGGUAAGUCGGGACCUAAGGCGAGGCCGACAGGCGUAGUCGAUGGACAACCGGUUGAUAUUCCGGUACCCGCUUUGAAACGCCCAGUACUGAAUCAGGCGAUGCUAAGUCCGUGAAGCCGGCCCGAUCUCUUCGGAGUUGAGGGUAGUGGUGGAGCCGAUGAACCAGACUUGUAGUAGGUAAGCGAUGGGGUGACGCAGGAAGGUAGUCCAGCCCGGGCGGUGGUUGUCCCGGGGUAAGGGUGUAGGACGCACGGUAGGCAAAUCCGUCGUGCAUAUAGUCUGAGACCUGAUGCCGAGCCGAUUGUGGUGAAGUGGAUGAUCCUAUGCUGUCGAGAAAAGCCUCUAGCGAGUUUCAUGGCGGCCCGUACCCUAAACCGACUCAGGUAGUCAGGUAGAGAAUACCGAGGCGUUCGGGUGAACUAUGGUUAAGGAACUCGGCAAAAUGCCCCCGUAACUUCGGGAGAAGGGGGGCCAUCACUGGUGAGGGGACUUGCUUCCUGAGCUGGGGGUGGCCGCAGAGACCAGCGAGAAGCGACUGUUUACUAAAAACACAGGUCCGUGCGAAGCCGUAAGGCGAUGUAUACGGACUGACGCCUGCCCGGUGCUGGAACGUUAAGGGGACCGGUUAGUGCACUUUCGGGUGUGCGAAGCUGAGAACUUAAGCGCCAGUAAACGGCGGUGGUAACUAUAACCAUCCUAAGGUAGCGAAAUUCCUUGUCGGGUAAGUUCCGACCUGCACGAAUGGCGUAACGACUUCUCGACUGUCUCAACCAUAGGCCCGGUGAAAUUGCACUACGAGUAAAGAUGCUCGUUUCGCGCAGCAGGACGGAAAGACCCCGGGACCUUUACUAUAGUUUGAUAUUGGUGUUCGGUUCGGCUUGUGUAGGAUAGGUGGGAGACUUUGAAGCAGCCACGCCAGUGGUUGUGGAGUCGCCGUUGAAAUACCACUCUGGUCGUGCUGGAUGUCUAACCUGGGUCCGUGAUCCGGAUCAGGGACAGUGUCUGAUGGGUAGUUUAACUGGGGCGGUUGCCUCCUAAAGAGUAACGGAGGCGCCCAAAGGUUCCCUCAGCCUGGUUGGCAAUCAGGUGUUGAGUGUAAGUGCACAAGGGAGCUUGACUGUGAGACCGACGGGUCGAGCAGGGACGAAAGUCGGGACUAGUGAUCCGGCAGUGGCUUGUGGAAGCGCUGUCGCUCAACGGAUAAAAGGUACCCCGGGGAUAACAGGCUGAUCUUCCCCAAGAGUCCAUAUCGACGGGAUGGUUUGGCACCUCGAUGUCGGCUCGUCGCAUCCUGGGGCUGGAGUCGGUCCCAAGGGUUGGGCUGUUCGCCCAUUAAAGCGGUACGCGAGCUGGGUUUAGAACGUCGUGAGACAGUUCGGUCCCUAUCCGCUGUGCGCGUAGGAAUAUUGAGAAGGGCUGUCCCUAGUACGAGAGGACCGGGACGGACGAACCUCUGGUGUGCCAGUUGUCCUGCCAAGGGCAUGGCUGGUUGGCUACGUUCGGAAAGGAUAACCGCUGAAAGCAUCUAAGCGGGAAGCCUGCUUCGAGAUGAGUAUUCCCACCACCUUGAGUGGUUAAGGCUCCCAGUAGACGACUGGGUUGAUAGGCCAGAUGUGGAAGCCCGGUAACGGGUGGAGCUGACUGGUACUAAUAGGCCGAGGGCUUGUCCUCAGUUG
rnacentral:rRNA from 1 species